rnacentral:rRNA from 1 species
GAUGAACGCUGGCGGCGUGCCUAAUACAUGCAAGUCGAGCGAACGGACGAGAAGCUUGCUUCUCUGAUGUUAGCGGCGGACGGGUGAGUAACACGUGGAUAACCUACCUAUAAGACUGGGAUAACUUCGGGAAACCGUAGCUAAUACCGGAUAAUAUUUUGCACCGCAUGGUUCAAAAGUGAAAGACGGUCUUGCUGUCACUUAUAGAUGGAUCCGCGCUGCAUUAGCUAGUUGGUAAGGUAACGGCUUACCAAGGCAACGAUGCAUAGCCGACCUGAGAGGGUGAUCGGCCACACUGGAACUGAGACACGGUCCAGACUCCUACGGGAGGCAGCAGUAGGGAAUCUUCCGCAAUGGGCGAAAGCCUGACGGAGCAACGCCGCGUGAGUGAUGAAGGUCUUCGGAUCGUAAAACUCUGUUAUUAGGGAAGAACAUAUGUGUAAGUAACUGUACACAUCUUGACGGUACCUAAUCAGAAAGCCACGGCUAACUACGUG